CGCCGCAGUCUGAAAGACCACCUGUGGUGGUAACGGCUGCCCAGCCAAGUCCAAACCCAACCAGCGUCAAUGUUCAAGAAGGAGAGCGCAGAUGUCAGCAAGAUGGGUCCUCUGCUGAUGGGUCGGCCAUUCGUCCAGUGGUCCUCCGAGGGUCAGCGUGACUCUGGCCACUCCUCCACCUGGAGCACCGGGCAGCUACUGGUAGAGUCCCAG